UCUUCAGCUGUGAGCCUGUGAGAGAAACAAAACCCAGUUCAUAUAAUUUCUGAAGAUAAAUGGCGAUUUCUGGUGAAUUGAGGAUCUCUGCAAUAUUGGGUUCUUGCCCUUUUAAGCACCACUCUCUGGGAAGCCCUCUCAAGCCCUCCAAGGUAACAUUGAAGGGUUUUAAUGGAGGAGGUAGUUCACGGGUGAUGAUCCAAACGUCCUUAAAUCUGGAAGGCUACAAGUCUAAGUGCCAGUGUAGACAAACGUUUGGGAUUGCAGAAAACAGUGAACCUUUUCCCGGACCUCUAAGCCAAGAAACAGAGGGCUUUCUCCUCCGUUCUAUAAACAUGAGCUUUUUUGAGCGUUUAAACUUGGCAUGGAAGAUAGUGUUCCCUUCACCAUCGACAAGAAGGAAUUCUAAUGCAAAGAUUGCCAAGCAGCGGUUGCAGAUGAUCCUCUUCUCAGAUCGAUGCGCAGUAACUGAUGACGCGAAGGAGAAGAUUGUGAGCAACAUUGUUGGUGCUCUAUCCGAUUUCGUGGAAAUAGAGUCACAGGAUAAUGUCCAGCUUAGUGUCUCAACAGAUGAAGACCUAGGCACAGUGUAUUCUGUUACAAUCCCUGUUCGGCGUGUGAAGCCUGAAUAUCAUCAAGAUGAGGAUGAUGUUGGGGUCAUAACCAAUGAUGAGUACAAGGAUAUUGGGGAACACAUUGGAUCUUACUGAUAUGAAGUUUGAUUUCCACAUCCCUAACAACUCUCUCUCUCUGUGUUUUUAGCAUUAUUACAUUUCAUGGUAGAGCAGCUUUUAACUAAUUAGUCUCAUAUGAUUCUAUAUUGCUCAUGCUGUAAUCAAAGAGCAAUUAAGGGAGUUCAUCUCAUCCUCUUUCCAUAGCCAUUCUCGAUAUUCAUGUCACCUCAAGAUUCUCUCUCAUUUUUUGGUCA